rnacentral:rRNA from 1 species
UACGAAGGGGGCUAGCGUUGUUCGGAAUCACUGGGCGUAAAGGGCGCGUAGGCGGCUUUGUAAGUCGGGGGUGAAAGCCUGUGGCUCAACCACAGAAUUGCCUUCGAUACUGCAUGGCUUGAGACCGGAAGAGGUUAGUGGAACUGCGAGUGUAGAGGUGAAAUUCGUAGAUAUUCGCAAGAACACCAGUGGCGAAGGCGGCUGACUGGUCCGGUUCUGACGCUGAGGCGCGAAAAGCGUGGGGGAGCAAACAGG